GACGAACGCUGGCGGCGUGCCUAAUACAUGCAAGUCGAACGCAGUGGGGACGGUUGCGUAACACGUGGGUAACCUCCCAUCAGAGGGGAUAACCCUUGGCAACAGGUGCUAAACCGCUACUGAUGGAUGGACCCGCGGUGCAUUAGCUAGUUGGUGAGGUAACGGCGCACCAAGGCCACGAUGCAUAGCCGACCUGAGAGGGUGAGCGGCCACACGGGGACUGAGACACGGCCCAGACUCCGACGGGAGGCAGCAGUGGGGAAUAUUGGGCAAUGGACGAAAGUCUGACAGAGCAACGCCGCGUGAGUGAAGAAGGUUUUCGGAUCGUAAAGCACUGUUGGUGGAGAAGCGGUAUCUAACCAAAAAGCAACGGCUAACUACGUGCCAGCAGCCGCGGUAAUAC
rnacentral:rRNA from 1 species